UGGGCGUAAAGAGCUCGUAGGCGGUUUGUCGCGUCUGCUGUGAAAUCCCGAGGCUCAACCACGGGUCUGCAGUGGGUACGGGCAGACUAGAGUGCGGUAGGGGAGAUUGGAAUUCCUGGUGUAGCGGUGGAAUGCGCAGAUAUCAGGAGGAACACCGAUGGCGAAGGCAGAUCUCUGGGCCGUAACUGACGCUGAGGAGCGAAAGGGUGGGGAGCAAACAGGCUUAGAUACCCUGGUAGUCCACCCCGUAAACGUUGGGAACUAGUUGUGGGGACCAUUCCACGGUUUCCGUGACGCAGCUAACGCAUUAAGUUCCCCGCCUGGGGAGUACGGCCGCAAGGCUAAAACUCAAAGGAAUUGACGGGGACCCGCACAAGCGGCGGAGCAUGCGGAUUAAUUCGAUGCAACGCGAAGAACCUUACCAAGGCUUGACAUAUACGAGAACGGGCCAGAAAUGGUCAACUCUUUGGACACUCGUAAACAGGUGGUGCAUGGUUGUCGUCAGCUCGUGUCGUGAGAUGUUGGGUUAAGUCCCGCAACGAGCGCAACCCUCGUUCUAUGUUGCCAGCACGUAAUGGUGGGAACUCAUGGGAUACUGCCGGGGUCAACUCGGAGGAAGGUGGGGAUGACGUCAAAUCAUCAUGCCCCUUAUGUCUUGGGCUUCACGCAUGCUACAAUGGCCGGUACAAAGGGCUGCAAUACCGUGAGGUGGAGCGAAUCCCAAAAAGCCGGUCCCAGUUCGGAUUGAGGUCUGCAACUCGACCUCAUGAAGUCGGAGUCGCUAGUAAUCGCAGAUCAGCAACGCUGCGGUGAUACGUUCCCGGGUCUUGUACACACCGCCCGUCAAGUCAUGAAAGUCGGUAACACCUGAAGCCGGUGGCCCAACCCUUGUGGAGGGAGCCGUCGAAGGUGGGAUCGGUAAUUAGGACGAAGUCGUAACAAG
rnacentral:rRNA from 1 species